rnacentral:rRNA from 1 species
AUUGAACGCUGGCGGCAGGCUUAACACAUGCAAGUCGAGCGGAGAUGAGGUGCUUGCACCUUAUCUUAGCGGCGGACGGGUGAGUAAUGCUUAGGAAUCUGCCUAUUAGUGGGGGACAACAUUCCGAAAGGAAUGCUAAUGCCGCAUACGUCCUACGGGAGAAAGCAGGGGAUCUUCGGACCUUGCGCUAAUAGAUGGGCCUAAGUCGGAUUAGCUAGUUGGUGGGGUAAAGGCCUACCAAGGCGACGAUCUGUAGCGGGUCUGAGAGGAUGAUCCGCCACACUGGGACUGAGACACGGCCCAGACUCCUACGGGAGGCAGCAGUGGGGAAUAUUGGACAAUGGGGGGAACCCUGAUCCAGCCAUGCCGCGUGUGUGAAGAAGGCCUUAUGGUUGUAAAGCACUUUAAGCGAGGAGGAGGCUACUGAGACUAAUACUCUUGGAUAGUGGACGUUACUCGCAGAAUAAGCACCGGCUAACUCUGUGCCAGCAGCCGCCGUAAAAC